rnacentral:rRNA from 1 species
GGGACGAACGCUGGCGGCGUGCUUAACACAUGCAAGUCGAACGGUGAACCAGGGCUUGCCCUGGGAAUCAGUGGCGAACGGGUGAGUAACACGUGACCAACCUGCCCUUGGCUCUGGGAUAACCCCGGGAAACCGGAGCUAAUACCGGAUACGAGUCCGUAUGGCAUCACACGGACUGGAAAGUUUUUCGGCCAAGGAUGGGGUCGCGGCCUAUCAGCUCGUUGGUGGGGUAAUGGCCUACCAAGGCGACGACGGGUA